rnacentral:rRNA from 1 species
AAGUCCCAGUUCGGAUUNAAGGCUGAAAUUCGCCUUCAUGAAGCCGGAAUUGCUAGUAAUGGCAGGUCAGCAUACUGCCGUGAAUACGUUCCCGGGCCUUGUACACACCGCCCGUCACACCAUGAGAGUUGGGAAUACCCGAAGCCUGUGAGCUAACUUUAAGAGGCAGCAGUCGAAGGUAGAAUCAAUGAUUGGGGUGAAGUCGUAACAAGGUAAC